GGCCGGGAUUUGCGCAAUGGAAAUCUGUGAACCCCGUCAGAUCCGGAAGGAAGCAGCGGUAAGCGGACACUUUCGUGUGCCGCAAGUAAGCCUGGUCACA
rnacentral:SRP_RNA from 1 species